UACGUAGGGUGCAAGCGUUAAUCGGAAUUACUGGGCGUAAAGCGUGCGCAGGCGGUGAUGUAAGACAGUUGUGAAAUCCCCGGGCUCAACCUGGGAACUGCAUCUGUGACUGCAUUGCUGGAGUGCGGCAGAGGGGGAUGGAAUUCCGGCGUGUAGCAGUGAAAUGCGUAGAUAUGCGGAGGAACACCGAUGGCGAAGGCAAUCCCCUGGGCCUGCACUGACGCUCAUGCACGAAGCGUGGGGAG
rnacentral:rRNA from 1 species